UUUUAGUCAGCAUUAGGGUUUUAAAACUUUAAACUGAACUUUUCCUUUUAGCCAGCAUUAGAGUUUUAAACUCUAAACUGAGCUUUUUCAUGCAAUCAGCAUUAGGUUUUAAACCCUAAACUGAAUUUUCCUUUUAGUCAACAUUAGGGUUUUAAACCCUAAACUGAACUUUUUCCUUUCAGCCAGCAUUAGGGUUUUAAACCCUAAACUGAGCUUUUUCAUGCAAUCAACAUUAGGGUUUUAAACCCUAAACUGAAUUUUCCUUUUAGUCAGCAUUAGGGUUUUAAACCCUAAACUGAACUUUUUCCUUUCAGCCAGCAUUAGGGUUUUAAACCCUAAGUUGAGUUUUUCCAUGCAAUCAGCAUUAGGGUUUUAAACCCUAAACUGAAUUUUUCCUUUAGUCAGUAUUAGGGUUUUAAACCCGAAACUCUCGUUCGGCAUUAGGGUUUUAAACCUUAAACUGAACCUUUCCCCAGCUAGUCGGUAUUAGGGCUCCAACCCUGAACUGAGCAUGCAUAUCCUCUUUCAUCAAUUUUAUGAACUUCCUGGCGAA
rnacentral:lncRNA from 1 species